rnacentral:rRNA from 1 species
UGGCGCGACGGGUGAGUACACGCUGGGAACAGCUGCCCUUUGGGUUCGCGAACAACUCAGGGAAACUUGUAGCUAAUACCGCGAUGUGCCCUUCGGGGGAAAGAUUUAUCUGCCAUUGGAGACGGCCCGCGCUCUGAUUAUGACUCAUGUUGGUGGGGUAAAGGCCCACCAAGGCGACAAUCACUAGCUGGUCUGAGAGGAUGAUCACCCCACAUUGGGACUGAGACACGGCCCAAACUCCUACGGGGAGGCAGCAGUGGGGAAUCUUGCGCAAUGGGCGAAAGCCUGACACACCCAUGCCGCGUGAAUGAUGAAGGUCUUAGGAUUGUAAAAUUCUUUCACCGGGGACGAUAAUGACGGUACCCGGAGAAAAAGCCCCGGCUAACUUCUUGCCACCACCCGCGGUAAUACAAAGGGGGCUAGCGUUGCUCGGAAUUACUGGGCGUAAAGGGAGCGUAGGCGGACUGUUAAGUUAGAGGUGAAAGCCCAGGGUCAACCUGGAAUUGCCUUUGAUACUGGCAUUCUUGAGUACGGAAGAGGUAUGUGGAACUCCGAGUGUAGAGGUGAAAUUCGUAGAUAUUCGGAAGAACACCAGUGGGCGAAGGCGACAUAUUGGUCCGUUACUGACGCUGAGGCUCGAAAGCGUGGGGAGCAAACAGGAUUAGAUACCCUGGUAGUCCACGCCGUAAACGAUGAGUGCUAGUUGUCGGCAUGCAUGCAUGUCGGUGACGCAGCUAACGCAUUAAGCAUUCCGCCUGGGGAGUACGGUCGCCAAGAUUAAAACUCAAAGGAAUUGACGGGGGCCCCCACAAGCGGUGGAGCAUGUGGUUUAAUUGGAAGCAACGCGCAGAACCUUACCACCUUUUGACAUGCCUGGACCGCCACAGAGAUGUGGUUUUCCUUUCGGGGACUGGGACACACGGUGGCUGCAUGGCUCGUUGUCAGCUCUGUUGUGAGAUGUUGGGUUAAGUCCCGCAACGAGCGCAACCCUCGCGAUUAGUUGCCAUCAGGUUUAGGCUGGGCCACUUUAAUCGUACGCCGGAGUUAAUCCGGAGGAAGGCGGGGAUGACGUCAAGUCCUCAUGGCCCUUACAAGGUGGGCUUCACACGUGCUACAAUGGCGAGUUACAGAGGGAUGCAAUGCCGCGAGGGGGAGCCAAUCUCUAUAAAAGUCGUCUCAGUUCGGAUUGUUCUCUGCAACUCGAGACGCCAUGAAGUUGGAAUCGCUAGUAAUUCGCGGAUUCAUGCAUGCCUUCAGGGAAACUUCC